AGCGAACGCUGGCGGCAUGCCUAACACAUGCAAGUCGCACGGGUCGGCUUCGGCCGGUCUGUGGCGGACGGGAGAGGAACGCGUAGGGAUCUGUCCCCUGGCGGGGGAUAACCGCGGGAAACUGCGGCUAAGACCGCAUGCGGCGCCGGUGUGAGAGCCGGUGUCAAAGGCGCGCAUCGCGAGGUGUGUGUCGCCGGGGGGUGCGCCUGCGUCCGAUUAGCGGGUUGGCGGGGUUGUGGCCCACCAAGGCGUGGAUCGGUCGCUGGUCUGAGAGGGUGAACAGUCGGACUGGGAUUGAGACACGGCCCAGACUCGUAGGGGAGGUGGCAGUGGGGAAUAUUGGAGAGUGGGCGCGAGGCUGAUACAGCAAUGCCGGGUGGAUGGAGAAGGUCUUCGGAUUGUAAAGCCCUUUCGGCGGGGACGGUGGUGACGGUACCCGCAGAAGAAGCCCCGGCUAACUUCGUG
rnacentral:rRNA from 1 species